UUCCGGUUGAUCCUGCCGGACCUGACUGCUAUCGGAUUGAUACUAAGCCAUGCGAGUCAUUGUAGCAAUACAAGGCAGACGGCUCAGUAACGCGUAGUCAACCUACCCUAUGGACGGGAAUAACCUCGGGAAACUGAGAAUAAUGCCCGAUAGAACAUUAUACCUGGAAUGGUUUAUGUUCCAAAUGAUUUAUCGCCGUAGGAUGGGACUGCGGCCUAUCAGUUUGUUGGUGAGGUAAUGGCCCACCAAGACUAUUACAGGUACGGGCUCUGAGAGGAGUGGCCCGGAGAUGGGUACUGAAACACGGACCCAGGCCCUAUGGGGCGCAGCAGGCGAGAAAACUUUGCAAUGUGCGAAAGCACGACAAGGUUAAUCCGAGUGGUUUCUGCUAAAGGAACCUUUUGUUAGUCCUAAAAACACUAACGAAUAAGGGGUGGGCAAGUUCUGGUGUCAGCCGCCGCGGUAAAACCAGCACCUCAAGUGGUCAGGAUGAUUAUUGGGCCUAAAGCAUCCGUAGCCGGCUCUGUAAGUUUUCGGUUAAAUCUGUACGCUUAACGUACAGGCCGCCGGGAAUACUGCAGAGCUAGGGAGUGGGAGAGGUAGACGGUACUCGGGAGGAAGUGGUAAAAUGCUUUGAUCUCUCGAUGACCACCUGUGGCGAAGGCGGUCUACCAGAACACGUCCGACGGUGAGGGAUGAAAGCUGGGGGAGCAAACCGGAUUAGAUACCCGGGUAGUCCCAGCUGUAAACUAUGCAAACUCAGUGAUGCAUUGGCUUGUGGCCAAUGCAGUGUUGCAGGGAAGCCGUUAAGUUUGCCGCCUGGGAAGUACGUACGCAAGUAUGAAACUUAAAGGAAUUGGCGGGGGAGCACCACAAGGGGUGAAGCCUGCGGUUCAAUUGGAGUCAACGCCGGGA
rnacentral:rRNA from 1 species